rnacentral:rRNA from 1 species
UACAGAGGUCCCAAGCGUUGUUCGGAUUCACUGGGCGUAAAGGGUGCGUAGGCGGCAUUUUAAGUCAGUGGUGAAAUACUUCAGCUUAACUGGAGAGGUGCCAUUGAUACUGGGAUGCUUGAGUACUGAUGAGGUAGGCGGAAUGGACGGUGUAGCGGUGAAAUGCUUAGAUAUCGUCCAGAACACCGAUAGCGAAGGCAGCUUACUAAGGAGUAACUGACGCUGAGGCACGAAAGUGUGGGGAUCAAACAGG